UACGGAAGGCAGCAGUGGGGAAUAUUGCACAAUGGGCGAAAGCCUGAUGCAGCUAUGCCGCGUGUAUGAAGAAGGCCUUAGGGUUGUAAAGUACUUUCAUCGGGGAGGAAAAAACAAAACUAAUAAUUUUAUUUCUUGACGUUACCCGAAAAAGAAGCACCGGCUAACUCCGUGCCAGCAGCCGCGGUAAUACGGAGGGUGCUAGCGUUAAUCAGAAUUACUGGGCGUAAAGAGCACGUAGGUGGUUUUUUAAAGUCAGAUGUGAAAUCCCUGGGCUUAACCUAGGAACUGCAUUUUGAAACUGAAAUACUAGAGUAUCGUAGAGGGAGGUAGAAUUCUAGGUGUAGCGGUGAAAUGCGUAGAUAUCUGGAGGAAUACCUGUGGCGAAAGCGGCCUCCUAAACGAAUACUGACACUGAGGGUGCGAAAGCGUGGGGAGCAAACAGGGAUUUAGAUACC
rnacentral:rRNA from 1 species